GAUGAACGCUGGCGGCGUGCCUAACACAUGCAAGUCGAACGGUCAAACGCCUUCCUUUCUGGUGGGUGUGGAUGGGCGGCGGAGGGGUGAGUAACACGUUAGCAACCUGCCCCCUCUUUCUGGAUAACCGGAUGACAGAGCUGCUAAUACGGGAUAUUCUGAGUCUGUCGGAUCAUGGGUCUGGGAAAGAUUUUGUGUCGGUGGGAGAUGGGCUGGCGGCGUAUUAGCUAGUUGGUGGGGUGACGGCGUACCAAGGCGGCGAUGCGUAGCCGGCCUGAGAGGAGGAUCGGCCACACUGGAGCUGAGAAGCGGCCGAGACUCCUACGGGAGGCAGCAGUAGGGAAUAUUAUGCCAUGGGCGACAGCAUGAUGGAGCAACGACGCGUGAGUGAUGAAGGACGUCUGCUCGUUAUGCACUUCUAUUGGGGGUGAAGCAGUGUUGCCUCAUCUGUGGGUGUGUUGACGGUACCUGGAUAGAAAGCGCCGGCUAACUACGUG
rnacentral:rRNA from 1 species